CCAUGUUCGUAUCUGUGUGGGUGCCUGCGUGUGUGUGUGUGGGUGGGUGUUUGUUUAAGUAUUUUCGCAUCUUAUCGCCUGCGAUUUGUUGAUACAAUUUUAGAACAUUUUCAAUUCGAGUUGCUUGCCCCUGCUCCGGCCCGUUUCCAAGCAACAGCGUCGUCAUCCCUUAUCGACACCGCGACUCCUCGCCCCAUCUGAUAAGCAUCGCCAGCAAAACAUAUGUUGUACCCAACAAUUCACAAGACCAAUUCCGACUACCGAACUGUCAGAGUGGAAGGAAAACAAGCAGAAAGUAAAAUAAGUGCAAGUUAAAGUGGAACACUAACCGAAACAAAUAGCAAACAAGCCCAACAGAGAGAACUAACCAACAUUUCCAGUUCGCGCUAAACACGAUUCUAAUUAUAUGGUAUGAUUAGUUCUGCUUCAAUUUGGAAUAGAGAUUGGACCACAUUUUGAUGCUACAACUUCAAAGGGUUAUUAUAACCAAAGGAUAGUUUACAAGCGAUAAUUUCUAUCUCUAUAACACAUUGUGAAAAGCAUCUGAAAAUCAUGCAAAAUGUUUAUCCUAUUUUUAGGUUCUCUCAGAACCUCUACAUAGAAACAUUUGUGUUUGGAUUUUCUUUAUGCCCAUGAGAUCAUUUCCCAGACAGUGAUUUAUGUAUAUCUAUAGAAAGAAACAUCCUGGAAGACCCUAAAGUAUCCUCUAUGUAACAUACAAAUACACGCAUACAACGACCCAAGAGCAGUGAGAGUGAGAGAGAGAGAGAGAUAUUGACUUCCUUAAAUGCUCUCCGCAAGAGCGUGUCCCUUUUACUUCUUUACUCCGUUUCAAACGAAAGUGAGCAAAAAGAUUGAAAGCUGAAAGGGAGUGGAGAGGAGGAGAGGAGAGAAGACGAGGCUCCACAACUGCUACGCUACGCGAGCAAAAGGCAUGCGAAUGGAAACCAGUUAUAUUGCAAUCCGGAUUUCAAGGGGCCAACAAGAAUUUGAAAUCGAUGUGUGGAUCAAACACCAAGUUUGCCAAAGCCAUUGCAUAAUCGAGCAGAAAUCUGCAAGUCCAAGACAGAGAGAGAGAGAGAGACAGACUCCAAAGACGCUGUUAAUCAGAGUGAAGGUGAAUGGAAGUGGAACAAAUGGAAGUGGAGUUUGGAAGUGAUGUUGGAAAUGGCUUCAUUUCGUGGUCACGCAUCUGAACAGCAACAAGAGCUACAGGGGCAGGAGGUGGGCGGUGGGGGGCGGAAGAGAAAAAGAGAGAAGGCUCCUCUCUUUCUCGCCAGACGAUGGAGCGAUUAUUUUUACCUCGAGAGCAACUGUUGCGCACAGUGGGGGUCAAAAUAAUAGUAAUAAUAAUAUUUCUAGCCUACAGUGGAUCGAUCUGCUGGAAUAUCAAAGACUUUGUGGUCAUCCUUUCGGGUUUUACUUUUACUUUAAUUGCAUAAAUACAAAUGUAUUGGGGUUGUUUUUGGGAUUAAACUCUUAAGUGCUGCCAAUUAUUUUGCCCGCUGCUGUACGAUGCUUGAGACUCUUUCACUUUUCGUAUUGUUUUUGUUGUUUUUAUUUGCCUUUGU